UAUUCCGAAUUCUUUUAAAUGCUCCUAAUAUUGGUCUUUUUUUUAGUUUUUCAGGUCAAAACGUUUCCCCAACGGUUAAAGAUAUUAGAUUCAAGGUAUCAAGGCUAAAGUUUUUUUUUUUUUUUUCUAUAUCCAAAUUUCUUCUCCAUUUUCUAGACUUGUGUGAUCUUAAAAUCAUAUUAUUCACAUUUGAUAUGAGAGAGCUUAUUAAAAAUUGACUUGACUGCUAUCUCAAUCUCUUUAAAUUGCAUGAUUUUAAAAUCAAUCAUUCACAUUUUACAUCAUAGAGCUUGUUACUUGUCUUUAUAACUCUCGUUACGGUUUCAAUUCCCCUUUCUUAUGCUUCUAUUCAAGGGCAAAUUGAAAACUCACGUGAUCGAAUGAAAAUUAGACAAGUGUAAUGGAAAUCAUUUAAUACACAAUUAAGACAAUAUUGGACCAUACACAAAGCUAAAGCUGUCAUUGAGCGAAGAAGAAUUUAAGAUUGGUGUCCCCAUUGACGUUCUUUUCAUUGGACCAGCCGAUACAAAUUUCAGAUCCCGUUUGGCUUUGCUUAAUGCUUUGCUACUCACCACACAUGGUACACACCCCCACACACAUACACGAAUAAUAAUAAGAAAUAAAUAACAUUGAAUUUAUCAUUUUUGGCUUCUUUAUUUUUUUCCCUCGUUAUGGGACCCUUCUCUCCUUGUCUUUUCAUGCUACAAUCCUACAAAUCAAUGGAAGAUUGAAGACCACCUUCAAAAAAAAAAAAAAAAAAGCUUAGAGCCCACAUCAAUAAAUUGCUCGUACGUAUUUGUGCUUAUCUUGGUGACCGAAGUAUCCCCUACCACUUGCUAAUUCAUUCCAUUGAAGGAAGUCCUUCAUUGGAAGUUACAGGGUUAUAAAUAGGUCACAAUCAUCACCAUCAAUUGUCAACUUUUCUUGGCGGGCAGGUUAAGUUCAAAUUAACCUUUGUUUUAAAUGAUGAACCCCACAUUCCUGAUUAUUUGGGAUAAUGGGUUAGAGAGUUAAAAGCAGGUUUUGUAGAUACAGCUUGUUUGAGUGAUAAAAUUUUUUUGGGUGUUCUUGAAGUACUGUUCUUUUUCAAAUUCACUUCUUGUCAUAUAAAUAUUUUAAUUAAUCAUCAUAAUAUGCAUUCACAUACAGUAAAUAGUAAAUGAAUAAGAAAUAAUGUUUCUGAAACAUUAAAGACUUUCUCUUAAUAAAGAUAUUUUAGCAUUGGAAAGAGAAUUUUUUUGAUAAAUUUUAUGUGAAAAUAAUUGACAUGACUUCCCAAGGAAUGAUCUAUAUAUUUAUAAUCUAUAUAAGGUAAACUUAAUAAAUGAGAGAAACUUUAUUAAAUUAUGAAAAUGAAACACAGUUAAAUUGGGAGAGAUAAUAAGCCUUAUCUCUCAUCAAAUGCAUAAAGUUAAGACAAAAUAAAAUCUUAAAUAUAAUAUAAAUAUAGUAUGAAAGCAGGACCUAUGCUGGUGAAAAAAAAAAUUUAGAAAGCCAUUUGCAUCCCGAGAAAGAAGAUCGAUGAUCUCCAAAGGAGGGGAAUCCCGCCAAGUCAAGUGAGUACAUAAAAGAGCCCAAAUUUACUAGGAUAUCAGUUACAGCAUAUUUU
rnacentral:lncRNA from 1 species